AUGAGCCACGGACAACUCGGCCUUGCUGCUGCGGGGCUGCGCUCGCCCUUCGCUCCUGGCGCCGCAGUGCGGCCCCGAGGCAGCAGAGGAGGAACGAAAAAUGAGAGAGAAGGGGGGGAAAAAAGGAAGAAAGCAAGGAAACGCAAAGCAGCACCCGCUGCCAGGUGCCCGUCCUCCACCCAUGGGUGCCCCUGCAGCCACCUGCCCGGCGUCAGCCUAACGCUGCGUCGGGCCGUCGGUGUCAUGAGUUGCUGCGGUCUCAGCGGGGCUCUCGGGAGCAGGGGUCCAGGCGGCACCUGCAGCCCCCCGGUGCCUUUGGAGGCUGGCUGUGCUCGGCCAAGGCAUCACAGCUCCUUGCAGGCUGCUUCUUGCUCCUCGGAGGCCAGGUGGAGCACGGGAGCAGCGCCUGGCCGGGAAACGGCUGCUGCGACGGGCCUGGUGCUUCGGAGGUGCUACCGGGAUCUGCUCCCGCCCGUCCUCCUCGGAUGGUCCCGAAGGAGCCCCUGCUUCCGCCGGGAACAGCCAGCAGCUCAGGUUGUCCCUGCUGCUCGGGGGGCCCCACGGAGCCGGUGGGAAGCAUUUUCGGGAUGGGCACGCGCAGGGGGACGGGGACACUGCAUUGCAGCUGGAGCCUGCAUCCYGCUGCUGCUUCCCGGCUGCGGUGCAUCCUGGUGGGAAGGCGCUAACGAGGAGCAGCUGACGAGGGGCUCUGCAGAGCGCAGGAGCCGCAUGGAGGAGCGCGUGCCGGCGGUGCGGGAGCUGGGCGCUCUGCAUCGCUCGACCCRGCCGAGCGCCGAGACGAUGGCUGCCCCUGCGGAGAGGCUUUUGCUCGGUUCCGGGCAGGCGCGGGGAGAGAAGGGAGCGGGAGAACUCCGUCCUAAUCGCGCUUCACUGCGGCACGCUCAACCCACACGGUGCCCCCAGUACCCGCGUGGCAGAGCGGCACGGAGAGACGCUCCCCUCCAGCUUGGGGACGAAGGCGCCCUUCUCCCCGUGCCGCCCCGGGGCUCCGAACCCCCCCCUUGGAGCCGCUCGUGA
rnacentral:lncRNA from 1 species